UUGUAUCUGUAGCAACAAAGAAAAAAAAAGCCAAAUGGGAUUUCAAGAUUCAUUUUCAGCAUAGGGAGGCAGAGUAUGAUUGUUGAUUCAUAAACAUUUUGAAAACAUUAAGCAAGUCUGUUCCAGCCAUGCUGUUUUGAGAAGCACCUACUGUGACAGAAAAUCAAACUGAGCCAUUGGGAGGGGAAAGAAAUGAGGUAAUAAAUCGUGACAGAAGAGGGAAAAGGGUUAAAUAGGCAAGUUUUGUGGUCUGUGUCCUUGCUACUGUUUUUAAUUUCUCUUGGUUGGGAAUGUAAUUGUCUGCUGGCUAACUCUGUCUCAGUAAUAUGCAAAUGAAACCCGUUCUGCAUCAGGCUCUACUAGUAGUUCUGUUGGCUGCCCUGAAGAGAUGAGGGUACCACACAAGGUCUUGUCAGAACCAGAAGCUGUUUUCAUCCAAACACGUUCACAACUUCGAUGCUAUGCUCCUCCCUCACCCAGGCUGGGAGGCAAGAUCUCAAGGAGCCAAGCCUCCAGGGGAAGGAGGUCAGAAGUGUUCCUGAGGAGUCUCAUCCUGCCUUCACAGUUCCCAGGCCAUCACCACAUCUCCCACUGGCACCUCUCCCUUCUUCAGUGGGCCAGAAAAGCCCAGGAGUAGGCAGAGCAUGUACAUCCCUCUGCUUCUCACCCUGCCACUGGUUGCUGACAUUUCCUCUGGGGCCUGUUUUUUAAGCUGCAUCAGUUUAAGCUGCACUUUCGUUUUAAAGGAGUAAUUUUUGGUCAAAUGAUCAGGAUGAAGAAAGGAGAAGACAGACCAGGAUAUUCCUCUCCUUCUUCAGUAAUCUUAACACUGUCACAGUUGCCUAUCCAUGGAGGAUGGAUCCCAAAUCAUUUCAGACAAGCUACUGCAGCCCUGAUGAUGAAGACUUUGCAGCUAAUUGUAAGGACCAUACCCUGGAGCUCAGCAAGGUAAUGAAGUGUUCUCUGCUCCUUCGAGAAAUAAUAGACUUGAGACUUUUUACUUGUGCUCCUUACUUGAGCCACCAGGUGUUUGCUCCAGACACAUCAGCAGAACCGAGUUCCACAGGCAGACAAGUCUCUGCUCAGCAAGAAAAUCUCUUGGUCCUGAUUCCGGAAACUCAUUAAAGCAGAGCAAAGCACUGCCAGCAAAGAGCAAUCACUUAGACCUCAAUGUUUGUAUUAAUUUAUCAUGAAUUUUCAAGGAACCGUUGGGUCUUUCCAGUGAGUGCCAGCGGCACCUUGCACUGUCCUGGGGUGUCACCACUAGGUGCCACAGCAGUGUGUGUCACAGCUGGAGCUGCCAGUGUCUGAGGAGGUGGAAGGCUCUGUGCAGACAACCCUCAGAGGCAGCUGCUUCCUCUGGAAUCUGAAACUCCACUACUGCUGCAAGACUGAUUGCCCAGCUCCACCUCUGCACUUGGUGUGUUCUGGCAGACGUUAUCAGUAACUCCCAGAGCAAUCCACGAGGUGAGGAGCCUCACUGCACUGAACGCUGCCUGGUUUAGUUUCUGGCUGCAAAAUGACUGCACACUCUUGCUCUUGCUUUCUUUUCUUCCUAGGAAGCCAUUUUGUUGCAGCUAAAGAAAAUUUCUUCAUGAGUUUUUCCCAUGCUAUAAAAUUUUGAGAAUACUUUUUUUUUUGGUGGAAAUAAUAUUUGAAUGAAAAAGUUGUGCUAAAAAAAUCCACUUUUCUUAUGCAAUAAAUAAAAGUCUGUCUAAAUGGC